UACGUAGGGUGCGAGCGUUGUCCGGAAUUAUUGGGCGUAAAGGGCUCGUAGGCGGUCUGUUGCGUCGGGAGUGAAAACUCAGGGCUUAACCCUGAGCCUGCUUCCGAUACGGGCAUCACUGGAGUUCGGCAGGGGAGACUGGAAUUCCUGGUGUAGCGGUGAAAUGCGCAGAUAUCAGGAGGAACACCGGUGGCGAAGGCGGGUCUCUGGGCCGAUACUGACGCUGAGGAGCGAAAGCGUGGGGAGCAAACGGG
rnacentral:rRNA from 1 species